rnacentral:lncRNA from 1 species
CCCCGAGAUCCGGUGCGCUCUCCCCGUGCGGCUCCGCCGGAGGCUGCCGCGCAGCCUUUCGCCUUCACCCGUGUAGCGAAGGCAGAAGAAACUGAAGCGAAGCCCUGGAAAAUGCUUACGAGAGAGGUGGCUCCGCUGCGGCUGUUGCCGCCGUCCUCCUCAGUCAGUGCUCUCCCGUAGCACACGCGCGGGCCAGCCGCGGGCGAUCUCAGCUGCGUUCGAUGGUGGAACGCUCAGCUGUCGAGGCGUUCGACCGUGGAACGUUGAGGUGCCGCCACAUUCCAAGAGCCGCUGCCGAAGACAGCCGCACCGGCUCGCUCUCACACAGCUGAGCAGCCGCCGGAGCACUCCAGACAUCAGCAUGCAAAAAUUCAUGUCUCUUCAACUUCUCUGCAUAUGAAGGACCCUCCAUCCUGUAGUCUACGCUCAUCACUUCUCUGUGUGGGAGAUGUUACUUCCUGACCUACUAAUUGGAGUGAGAACUGAAGCACAACACCUGCGGGGAGAUUCAUCCCUGAAGUUGCUACUGCUGCUGCUGGCUGAGCUCCUACCUCCAGUGAGGCAGAGAGGCUGCCACUGCCACGCCAAGCUGUGCAGCACGGAGGAAGGAAGAUAGUGGCUGAAGGGGGCUGCACAGGCUAUGGCUGCUGCUGCUCCAGGUGGGUGGCAGUGUGCACAGCCCUGGCUGCAGUAGCAAGGCCCUUCCCCAGGUGGGGGCAGGGUGCCCGGGCU